rnacentral:rRNA from 1 species
GACGUAGGAGGCAAGCGUUGUCCGGAGUUACUGGGCGUAAAGCGCGCGCAGGCGGUCACGCAGGUCAGUCUGUGGAAAGCACCCGGCCUCAACCGGGUUGUUGCGGGUGAAACCGCGUGACUUGAGGUCGGGAGGGGUCGGUGGAAUUCCGGUGUAGUGGUGAAAUGCGUAGAGAUCGGGAGGAACACCCGUAGCGAAGGCGGCCGACUGGACCGAUCCUGACGCUGAGGCGCGAAGGCCAGG